GAUGAAGAACGUAGCGAAAUGCGAUACGUAAUGUGAAUUGCAAAUUCAGUGAAUCAUCGAGUCUUUGAACGCACAUUGCGCCCCCUGGUAUUCCGGGGGGCAUGCCUGUCCGAGCGUCAUUGCUGCCCUCAAGCACGGCUUGUGUGUUGGGCCCCGUCCUCCGAUCCCGGGGGACGGGCCCGAAAGGCAGCGGCGGUACCGCGUCCGGUCCUCGAGCGUAUGGGGCUUUGUCACCCGCUCUGUAGGCCCGGCCGGCGCUUGCCGAUCAACCCAAAUUUUUAUCCAGGUUGACCUCGGAUCAGGUAGGGAUACCCGCUGAACUUAAGCAUAUCAAUAAGCGGAGGA
rnacentral:misc_RNA from 1 species